rnacentral:rRNA from 1 species
AGAGUUUGAUCCUGGCUCAGGACGAACGUUGGCGGCGUGCUUAACACAUGCAAGUCGAGCGGGGCUUAGUAGAAAGUUUACUUUUUAUUUUGUCUAGCGGCGGACGGGUGAGUAACGCGUGGAUAAUCUGCCUGUAAGACAGGGAUAACGCCGGGAAACCGGUGCUAAUACCGGAUAACCUCUUUGGAUCGCAAGGUGUGCUCUUUACAAUGCUACCACUUAUAGAUGAAUCCGCGUCCCAUUAGUUAGUUGGCGAGGUAACGGCUCACCAAAACGAUGAUCAAUAGCCGGCCUGAGAGGGUGAACGGCCACACUGGAACUGAGAUACGGUCCAGACUCCUACGGGAGGCAGCAGUAAGGAAUAUUGGGCAAUGGGCGAAAGCCUGACCCAGCAACGCCGCGUGAGUGAAUAAGGCUUUCGGAUUGUAAAGCUCUGUUAUUAGGGAAAAAGGCAAUCGUGCUAACACCANNNNNNNNNNNGGCUAACUACGUGCAGCAGCCGCGGUAAUACGUAGGUUGCAAACGUUGUCCGGAGUUACUGGGUGUAAAGCGUGCGUAGGCGGCUUUCUAAGUCUGGUGUGAAAACUCCAGGCUCAACUUGGAGACUGCUUCUGAAACUGGUAGACUUGAGUGCAAGAGAGGGAAGUGGAAUUCCUAGUGUAGCGGUGAAAUGCGUAGAUAUUAGGAGGAACACCAGUGGCGAAGGCGACUUCCUGGCUUCUUAAUUGACGCUGAGGCACGAAAGCGUGGGGAGCAAACAGGAUUAGAUACCCUGGUAGUCCACGCUGUAAACGAUGAGUGCUAGGUGUCGGGGGUAUCGACCCCCUCGGUGCCACAGCUAACGCAAUAAGCACUCCGCCUGGGGAGUACGGUCGCAAGACUGAAACUCAAAGGAAUUGACGGGGGCCCGCACAAGCGGUGGAGUAUGUGGUUUAAUUCGACGCAACGCGAAGAACCUUACCAAGGCUUGACAUCCCGUGACCGCUAUGGAAACAUGGUCUUUCGCCUUCGGGUGAACACGGAGACAGGUGGUGCAUGGUUGUCGUCAGCUCGUGUCGUGAGAUGUUGGGUUAAGUCCCGCAACGAGCGCAACCCCUACAGCUAGUUGCCAGCACGUAAUGGUGGGAACUCUAGCAGAACUGCCGGUGAAGCGCCGGCCUACAGCCAGUUGCCAGCACAUGAUGGUGGGAACUCUGGCAGAACUGCCGUUGACAAAACGGAGGAAGGUGGGGAUGACGUCAAAUCAUCAUGCCCCUUAUGUCUUGGGCUACACACGUACUACAAUGGCCUGAACAGAGGGAAGCAAAACUGCGAAGUUAAGCGAAUCCCUUAAAACAGGUCCCAGUUCGGAUUGUAGGCUGCAACUCGCCUACAUGAAGUCGGAAUCGCUAGUAAUCGCAGGUCAGCAUGCCGCGGUGAAUACGUUCCCGGGCCUUGUACACACCGCCCGUCACACCACGAAAGUCGGCAACACCCGAAGCCGGUGACUCAACCCAAAGGGAGAGAGCCGUCGAAGGUGGGGUUGGUAAUUGGGGUGAAGUCGUAACAAGGUAACC